AGGGUACAUGGAGUUCUGGUGAUAGUAGUAUCUGACAAGGACCCCAAAUUCACAUCUCAAUUUUGGUCUAGUUUUUAGUAAACAAUGGGAACGAAACUAUCCCUCAGCACAGCAUUCCACCAUUAAACUGAUGGACAAUCAGAACGGAUAAUUCACACAUGGAGAAUAUGCUCUGAGCUUAUGUUUUAGACUUUGAAGG
rnacentral:lncRNA from 1 species